rnacentral:rRNA from 1 species
CAAGUCGAACGGUAACAUUUCUAGCUUGCUAGAAGAUGACGAGUGGCGGACGGGUGAGUAAUGCUUGGGGACUUGCCUUUGCGAGGGGGAUAACAGUUGGAAACGACUGCUAAUACCGCAUAAUGUCUUCGGACCAAACGGGGCUUCGGCUCCGGCGCAAAGAGAGGCCCAAGUGAGAUUAGCUAGUUGGUAAGGUAACGGCUUACCAAGGCGACGAUCUCUAGCUGUUCUGAGAGGAAGAUCAGCCACACUGGGACUGAGACACGGCCCAGACUCCUACGGGAGGCAGCAGUGGGGAAUAUUGCACAAUGGGGGGAACCCUGAUGCAGCCAUGCCGCGUGUGUGAAGAAGGCCUUCGGGUUGUAAAGCACUUUCAGUUGUGAGGAAAAGUUAGUAGUUAAUACCUGCUAGCCGUGACGUUAACAACAGAAGAAGCACCGGCUAACUCCGUGCCAACAGCCGCGGUAAUACGGAGGGUGCGAGCGUUAAUCGGAAUUAC